rnacentral:lncRNA from 1 species
AACCACUGUAUGGAGCCACACCGCUAUGAGGGAAAACGUAGGACAGUUGGAACAGAGCAAGGAAACAUAGAAGUCUUGCCGAAAGAUGCUUCAUCAACUGCUAGUGUAGGAAGCCUUGAAACUAGUGUGAUCAGUUGGGCUCCUUGCUGUGCUACUGCUCCGCCUUCCAGGGAUUAGCACAAGAGCGUCUGAGCUGAUCUCUCUGAACACCCUGAUCCUUAGCACACUGUGCGAAAGUAAGUACUACUCCUUUCACAAAGGUUUUUUCCUAUGAUUGCUUGGAUCAAUAUUGCAAGGCUUUUGGCUCAUGCAGGGACAUAAAGGAAG